rnacentral:rRNA from 1 species
GAUGAACGCUAGCGGCAGGCUUAAUACAUGCAAGUCGAGGGGCAGCACAGAUAGCAAUAUUGGGUGGCGACCGGCAAACGGGUGCGGAACACGUACACAACCUUCCUUGUAGUGUGGGAUAGCCCAGAGAAAUUUGGAUUAAUACAACAUAGUAUAUUGGAGUGGCAUCACUUUGAUAUUAAAGAUUUAUCGGUAAAAGAUGGGUGUGCGUAUGAUUAGGUACUUGGUAGAGGUAACGGCUCACCAAGCCUUCGAUCAUUAACUGGUGUGACACCACGACCAGUCACACGGGCACUGAGACACGGGCCCGACUCCUACGGGAGGCAGCAGUAAGGAAUAUUGGUCAAUGGACGGAAGUCUGAACCAGCCAUGCCGCGUGAAGGAUGACGGCCCUCUGGGUUGUAAACCUCUUUUAUGUGGGACGAAAAAGGGCCAUUUUUGGUCAACUGACGGUACCAUAGGAAUAAGCACCGGCUAACUCCGUGCCAGCCGCCGCCGUAA